rnacentral:tRNA from 1 species
UCAUUUAUAAAGAAUAAUCUUUUUUUAGAAA